GUAAUAUUUCAGGUACAAAUUCUACUAGUACGAUUCGAUGCAGUGGAAGAGGUUGAAGUUGACGUUUAAGCAGUCACCCUGCCGAACAAGAAAUCAGUCAGGCAAAGAGGCUAGGUUGACUAGAAACUCAAUCACUGUAUCCGUGGAACUUGCCGGAAGCUAUCUGAGUUAUUUUACCUCCUUAUUUCAAAUGACCUCCAAACCAAUUACAUUGAAGAGGAGUAUAGGUAAUCAGACACUAAAGAGGACCAAUUAUUCUAUGUUCUACAUCUUCAAUGAUGAAUAAAGAUCUCGGAUUGCUUCUACUAAUGCAUGAUGUGUUAAAAUGAAAGAGAAAGAGAAACCACUCAUUUAUGAUUUACUUUUAGUAUUAUGUCUUUCACUGUUUUGACAAUGAUAUUGAAGUUGAUCUUAAAAACUGACUAUGAACCCUUGCUAAAUGAUUUGGGAAGGUGUUAGGGCUAAAUAUGCCUGUAGACAUCACUUUCAGUGAUUUUUAUGAAAUCAAUGAUUAGGGUAUAUUUUGGGACUGAAAUAAGCGCAAGACCUUCGACGUUUCUAUUGCUAC